rnacentral:lncRNA from 1 species
UCCAACCUUAAUGAUUCUAUGAUUCUAUGGGGAUGGUGGGGUUGGGUCAAUAGUUGGACUUGGUGACCUUAGAGGUCUUUUCCAACCUUAAUGAUUCUACGAUUCUAUGGGGAUGGCGGGGAUGGGUUGAUGGUUGGACUGGAUGAUCUUAGUGGUCUUUUCCAACUUUAAUGAUGCUAUGAUUCUAUGGGGAUGGAAGGAAUGGGUCAGUGAUUGGAACUGGUGACUUUGGAGGUCGUAGAAUCAUAGAAUCAUAGAAUCACUCAGGUUGGAAAAGACCUCAAAGAUCAUUGAGUCCAACCAUGACCUAGCCAUACUACCUUAACUCUAACAACCCUCUGCUAAAUCAUGUCCCUGAGCACAUUUCCAACCUUAAUGAUUCUGAGAUUCUAUGAUUCUGUGAUCAUGGUAGGUAUGAGUCAAUGGUUGGACUUGGAGACCUUAGACUUUCCAACCUUAACGAUUCUCUGAUUCUAUUGGCUUGUUGGGUGUAUGUCAGUGGUUGGGCUUAAUGACCUUGAAGGUCAUUUCCAACCUUAACAAUUCUCUGAUUCUCUUCUAGAAUGUAAAUUUCACCUCUGAAGGGAGGCUGUGUUUUGCUCAGCCUUGUUUAAACCCAUUGAAAUUUUCAAUCUGAUUCAUUUUGUUUUUUCACCUCCCAGAGGCCGAGCUCUCUGGAAACCACCGUCCCAUGUUGCCCAUCCCACUGAAAACAAUUUACCCCUCCCUGUAGAGGAGGGGAAUGUGUGACAUUGGCUCUGCUUUAUCAGCUGGGAAAGCCCCAGUGUGAGCUGAGCUCUGUGCGUGCAGACGGAAGGAGGCACAGGAAACGCGGCUGAGGCUGCAAGGUUACUCGGCAUGCGGCCCCGUGACGCCUGGUGUUGGGUGGCCAUGCUGCUGCUCGCCCUGUUCAGCAACACUGCUGGAGGCCGACGUGGAGCUGGAGGAAGAGCUGGGGGACGAGGAGGAGGAGGAGGCGGUGGAGGAGGAGGGCUACGUGGGGGCUUUCGGUCCAUCUCCCGUGGAGGCAACACUGCAGGCCGAGGCUCCAAGAUGGCGAGUGCCAUCGCAGCCGGUGCUGCCACAGGGUAUGGGAUGGGGCUCCUGGGGCGGCCGCGGCCCCCCCGCCUUGGUCAUGGCCCCCCGGCCCAACGGCAGCCCCCACCAGCUGGGGGGUUCCAUGCUGCAGCUUGGCCGGACCUGGGGGCCAAGCGGGGAUCCCCCAACCAAGCCCCCAAGGGACCGUGCGGUGGCAUUGUCCCCACUCUACUUCUGGCAAAUGCCAUCUGCUGGGUCAACCAUGGGAUGUAACACUGAGAGCUGACGUGGGGAGGGGGCACAGCACGCCCCAGGAUGAAACCAUGGGCACUUGGUGGUGCGUGACAGUGCUGGGAGGUGGGAUGGGGAUGAGGGAGGGGGGAGAUGCUCUGCUGCCAUCUCGAUUCCUUGGGACCCUCUGCCAGCAGCCAUCACUGUGCUCGUGGCAACCUUGGGAUCCUGCAAACCCAUUGAGCACAUGAAGAAAUCAAGCCCUGCAAGGAAAUUUCAGUAUUUCUACCCACACAUUGUGCAGACACAGCUGGAUCGACCCCACCAGCCUCGGUGCUUGUCCUGGUUUUACACGGCAUGGCAAAACCAAGGAAGAUGUUAUGAAAAGGUGUUCCUUUCCCCAAAGAAGAGCACUGGGAAUCAGUUGGGGACAUGGGGCUCCAAAACGGACCCCUCCAAAUUGCAAUAAAGUUUGGUUUGGAGACAGCCUCUUGCUCCAGUUUGCAGUAUUGGGGCAUCCUGUAUUGGGCUGCAAAUUUGCUCUUGUUAUGGGGAGCUUCACACCAGAUCCAUUGUAUUUAGCAUUAGGUGUAGCCCUGCAUUGCUAAGGAAUGUUGCAGAGAGAGUGGCACCAGCGGUGACAAUGCUGUGCAGGGAAAGGCCCUUCCUGCCCAAUCUCUCCAGCCUCAGUAUGACCAAAUCUGCUCUAGCCUUCAGCUGCACAAAGCACAGAUAGCUG